rnacentral:rRNA from 1 species
GCGUUAUCCGGAUUUAUUGGGUUUAAAGGGUGCGUAGGCGGCCUAUUAAGUCAGGGGUGAAAGACGGUAGCUUAACUAUCGCAGUGCCUUUGAUACUGAUAGGCUUGAAUACACUUGAGGUAGGCGGAAUGUGACAAGUAGCGGUGAAAUGCAUAGAUAUGUCACAGAACACCAAUUGCGAAGGCAGCUUACUAAAGUGUCAUUGACGCUGAGGCACGAAAGCGUG